rnacentral:rRNA from 1 species
UACGGAGGAUGCGAGCGUUAUCCGGAUUUAUUGGGUUUAAAGGGUGCGUAGGCGGGAUGCCAAGUCAGCGGUAAAAAUGCGGUGCUCAACGCCGUCGAGCCGUUGAAACUGGCGUUCUUGAGUGGGCGAGAAGUAUGCGGAAUGCGUGGUGUAGCGGUGAAAUGCAUAGAUAUCACGCAGAACUCCGAUUGCGAAGGCAGCAUACCGGCGCCCUACUGACGCUGAGGCACGAAAGCGUGGGUAGCAAACAGG